GCCUCUUCGAUGCUUCACUUCAUCCCUCUACUUUUGGCUUUUCGCCAUCUUCGUCUCUGUCUGCAUCAAACAUAAGGAGGCCAAGAGCAUAAAUCAACUACACGCGUAGUUGACCUUACAAGCACAUACUAGUAUAAGCCCCUUUGCCUAGUUCCUCAUUUUUUUAUUCAUUUAUCUGACCACAUUUUCUCUCAAUUUUCUUUCCUUUUCUCUUUCUUUCCUGUUCUUACAAGCUUCAACUGCCUCCAUCCCUUCUUCCUCUUGUCGCUUUCUUAAUUUUAUAGACUUGUUUCUAAAUCUGUAAAAAUAGCGUUUGGGUUCGCGAGAUCUCUGUCUUUCUGCUCGAUCGUUGAAGUUUAAGUUGGAUUUGAGCUCAAUUUCAGGUGCUCGAAGGUCAUCUGAUACAAGGUUUAAACUGUAAACUAAUUUAUAUCUAAACAGCUAGUUUUACUUUUCAAUUUUUGGGCUUUUUCAUCUGAUUUUUGCUACUGAGCGAGGCAUUACUUCUGGGUUCUGAAAAUAUUGGAAAUUUUAAUAUUUUGAUUUUCUUUUUUUGCAUCCCACAAGUUAUUUUUCCUCAAUUUUGUUAAAUUUUGAAAGUUUAUUGAAUCGUAUCGUUUGAUUCAACUUAAUUUCUGGAUUUUUGCUCAAAUUAGAUUUUUCUGCAUUUCGCUCGCAUUUGAAGCGAAAAAAGAUCUCAGCUUUGUCAUUUCAGCUAAAUAUAGACGCUCUCAACAAUCUAAAUUUACUAGUUCUUUCUUAAUAUUAACAAUAUAGCUUCAAAUUUUUUUUUUCAGCCUUUAUGCGAUUCUUUUCGAGUUUGAUUUGGAUAUGAUGGGGGGACAAUCUAGCAAGAAAAAAGGCGUUGAACCUCCACCACCACUCCAAAUGAAUAGCAAUUCUCAGUACACAGCAGACUUGAGAUCAUAUGAGGAUGCUUGUAAGCUUGAUCCAGACCUGCAAUCCUUUGAUGCUACCCUCCAUGAAAGGACUAACCGUAUCAUAAACACCCUUGCCACUGGUGCUGGCUUUAGAUCACUAUCUUUUGACUCUCUCAAAGAGGUCACCAAUAGCCUUCUUGACAUAAAUCAAGAUGUGGUCGAAGUUAUACUGCAAAGCAAGGAAGAUAUAUGGAAAAAUAAAGAUUUGUUUGCUUUGGUUGAGGAGUACUUUAACAAUAGUGCCAGAACUUUGGAUUUUUGUACUGCCCUUGAAAAUUGUCUUAAGCGAGCUCGGAAUAGCCAAUUGAUCAUACAAGUUGCUCUUAGGCAGUUCGAGGAAGAGGUAGCAUUUCAAGAUGGGGUUGCGGACAAGAAGUAUGUGAAGACAUUAGAGGAAUUAGGUAAGUUCAAGGCAGUUGGUGAUCCUUUUACUGAGGAGUUCUUUGUACUCUUUCAGUCGGUGUAUAGGCAGCAGCAAUCCUUGUUAGAGAAAUUGACACUUCAAAAGAAGAAGCUUGAUAAAAAAUUGAAGAACAUGAAAACAUGGAGGCGGGUAUCAAAUGUGUUGUUUGUUGCUGCUUUUGUCUCUGUGUUGAUUUUCUCAGUGGUGGCAGCCGCCAUUGCUGCACCACCUCUUGUAACAGCUUUGGCAGGUGCACUGGCUGUUCCUAUUGGCUCAGUGGGAAAAUGGUGUAACUCACUUUGGAAUAGUUAUAUGAAAGAAGUGAAGGGCCAGAAGGAAUUGGUAAGCUCAAUGCAUGUUAGAACUUUCAUUGUAAUCAAGGAUAUGGAUAAUAUACGGCUACUUGUCAACAAAUUGGAACUGGAAAUUGAAUCACUCUUGCAAAAUGCGAGCAUUGCCCUUAUGGAAGAAGAUGCUUUGAAGCUUGUGAUAGAUGAGAUCAAGAAGAAGCUGGAUGUGUUCAUGCAAGCUAUUGAGGAUUUAGGUGAACAUGCUAAUAAGUGUAGCCGUGACAUAACACAGGCAAGGACAGUGAUUUCACAGAGAAUAAUCAGGUAUCUCGACCGCUGAAGAAGUCCUUGAAUAUUUGUACUAUUGACUUUGCCAAUUUGGUUAUGUUGUGUGAAUUUCAUGUUAUGGUUGGAAGGCGGUCUAACGCAUUGUAUUGUCCAACUCGAAUUCAAUCUUUAUAAAGAAAAUUAUAUUGUUGAGCAGGCUUAUGCUCUCUUAUCAGAAAGGAUUUCUGUGUGAUUUCCCCUUAUUUUUAUUGUCUGGCCUGUGUGAGAUUGUUGCAGAAUCUACUAAAAUUAAAUAUUUCGGAUGUUA
rnacentral:misc_RNA from 1 species